CCUGAAUAUUAGAGAACAGGUUUAUGUGUAGAUAGAACUGUCUAUAUUCCUGUCUAUAAAAAUAUUACUUACAUGUCAGUUAUCUUCAGGUGAUUCAGUUAAUUUAUCAUUCUAGCUAUUUAGGAUUCAUUAGAGCUGUGAAAAUUAAAAAUCACUGGUUUAAGGAAGAUUGGGAUUCUCAUAAAAGUUCAGGUAGACAGUGGAGGGCCAGUGGAACUCCUCAAAGUGUCAGAGACUGAAGCCCUUUUGGUCUUGGCCUGCCAUCUUAAAAACCUCUCCAAUUCAGUUCAUAUUCUGUGCAAUGAGAGGGCGAAAAGAAAGAUAUGCACCUUCACUUUAAGAACUGUUCCCAGAAAUUCUGCCUAUUUAUCUACAUUAAUACUAUUGCCUAAAAUAGUUACAUCAACACACCUGGCUUCGAGCAAGGCUAGAAAUUAUUCUCUUAAGAUCAUGUUUCCAGCUGUAAAAGUAGGGGUUCUAAUAUAGGAAAAGGUGAGAAUGGAUAUUAGGAUACUACUAGUAGUAUUAUGCUACUUAAGCUGAUUCAGAACUUCCUGUGCCAAUAAAAGAAAAUAGAAUCAUGGCAUUUGCAGGUAAAUGGAUGGAGUGGGAGAAUAUAAUGCUAAGUGAAGUUAACCAAUCCCCCAAAAACAAAUGUGGAAUGUAUUCUCUGAUAUAAGGAGGCUGAUUCAUAGUGGG
rnacentral:lncRNA from 1 species